UUCAUAUCAUACAGAGGGCGCGAGUUGUGAAAAACGUGUGUUUACUUCGAGGUGUGUACCGUGUGUUGCAGAAGGAAUGUGUUAAAUAUGAAGACGUCCACAAGAAAUAGAAAGUUCAAUGCAUCAAAAAUUCAUCAAGAAAGAGUUAAUACUAUAAGAUCAGAAAAUGAAAGUUCAAAGAAGAAAACACUGUCUUACCAUGUUCAAAAAGAGAUAGUCGUACUUUUAUUUGCAAGGUUGUGCUCUGUACUUUGGAACAAUAUAUCAGACUGUGAUGAAACCUUUAAUUACUGGGAACCAGUGAGUUAUUUUUUUUUUAUUAA